rnacentral:hammerhead_ribozyme from 11 species
GGCUAGCAGUGGAAUCCAAAUAGGACGAAACGCGCGUCCUGGAU